CCAACAGCUUUUGGGGGGAGUACAAGUGCCAGCUUCAGGGCUUUAGUACUACAGCCUGUCAUCCCAUCUCUGACAGUUGUGGCUGCAUAAGACAGUCACCUCACUCUUUUGAGGCACGCUACUGGCCUGCUGUUAUUUCCCUACAGACAAGCCACCAAUAAGAAGGAGGCAGAAUGAUGACAUAACCUCAGCACAUGGACACCACCGAACAGAAGUUCAGGCUACGGCUGUACCAGUGAAUGAAGAUUAUGUAAGCUGAACCCUUCAACCAGAGAGAUGAGAUAAGAAAGACCUAGACUGUAUCUCCUACAGUCCAGUGGAGGAGUAAAUUAUGAAAUACACAGUAAAAUGUCCAGAGCUAAUUUAACUCUAACAUAGUACAUAUGAGUCCAAUGGGGACCUUAUGUACUCUGCAAGAGUCGAGUUAAAACUAAUCAUUUUACAGCGUGGAGCAGAGGAGGUUGCUAGACUGUAGUGGGCUUAACAAGGGGCCUGAGGAGAAUUUGAAAGACCAUUAGGCCACUCCCAUUCUCCCAUCCGAUACAUCUGGAUUACAUCACCAGAUUGUUUGUUCAGACUAAUUAAGUUUUUGACAUUGACUCCCUAAAAUCUGUUAUAACUCACCAUAGUCUGAAAAAACACCCACUCAAAUAUCCCCAUAGUGAGGAAAACACCCACUCAUACUUAUCAGCAACAGAAACACACUCAGUAUUACAGUAGGAAAAUAUCCCCUCAGAACUCACCAACCAGUUCUCUCAUUCAAAAACCUCCAGUCUUCCACCCCUGGAUUCUCACUCAGCAAUAUAGGUGUGUCCUGCUGAAAUGGUCCUGUGUUCUAUUUUUAACCAUCACCUCGUUUUCAUGAAACUAUUGAUUUUCAGACACUUGGAUAGGCGGAGGAACACCAAGCCAGGGAUCAAAUUUCAGUGGGGGCACUGCUGCACUUAGAUACUGUGUACCGUUACCACGGAAACCUUUGUCUCAGUUGCAGCUUCUUAUGAAGAGAGGACAAAAGCCCCCUGAUUUGCCCACUGAGAGUUCAGCUGUCAGGGAUGGAGAGAGAGAGGGGGGCGGGGAAUGGUGGGAGGAGAGAGGGAAGGGAAGAGGGCAAGCACUUCCCAGGGUCAUAUAUACAAAGAAAAAAAUGCCUGACAGCUGGCUAGGUUGCAAGUAAUUGCCUGCAGAGAAAGAGAAGGUGAGAAUAUUUGAAAUGGAGGGUGUGAUGCAGAUAGAGCGAGAGAAUGAAGGAGAGAGAGGCAACAGAAAUGGGAAUGAAUUAGAAGGUAAAAAAACAAUGCUAAAGAAGGGAGAGAGGAAGAAUGUAUUAUACAGGACGGGUAAAGCUCAAUGAGUGCCAUGAAGUAGUCGCAGCAGAUACGUCACCAGAUUUAUUUGCUCAACCGAACCUCACAUUGUCAUGAAACUUUUCACAUUUUAGCAAGGAGUCUUCAUAUACCCAGAAUUUAAUUUGCUAUUUCAUGAAAUUUUUCAGUUCUAUACCUUGGCCUGUUCAGACACUAGCCCUGCCCACUCAUUGUAUCCAUGGUACCCAGUAGGAGAUCUGUGUGUGUUCUACCAUCAGCCUCUGGUCCAGUCUUGUGCUCACUCUUUAUAUGCUAAACUACAUUUAGCCUAUACAAGGAAGACAGCAAACUGAGGAUUCAAAAUCAUUUGGAAUUCAGUGGAGAAGCUCCAGAGAACUAAAAUAAGUUUUUUCUAUGAUGAAAUAUCUGAGAAUGUAGUUUACAUAUUUCCUUUCACUGUAUUUUCUCAGUUUUGAAGGUUUUCUAGGUGAGCUGUGGGGUCCAAAAUCAAUCUGAAAUAUUCCAGUAUAUUGCUUUAUCAUAUUUAAAGCUAAAGCUGAGGCACAGAAUAUAUAAUUUCCAAACUGUUCUGUAUAAUAUCUACUUUCAAACAACACCAACCCACUGCAGCAUAGGCCUAUUCUAUGCAAUAAACUUACCCUAUUACUACAGGAAUGGUAAGAGGUUGGUUGGAUGUUUGAUAUUGACACUGUUCUUUUGUAAAACCAGUUCAUCAGUGAAUAGGCCAGUCAAAGAUGAUGGGCGGAUCAAGGAUUUGAAGAGAUUUUAAAAAUAGUACUUCUGUUUUAAUGUAUGUUUAUGAUUAACUGAGACAGUUUUUAUGUUCAUAGGAGGACAUUAAGUAUUGUCCAUGUGUAGCUCUGUUAAAUAAUCACUUAAUUGCAGCCUGUCGUGGAUGUUAGAUUAGUAUUUCAAACAACCAUUUUACUGAGAUGGUUAUCAUCUGACAACCAUUUUAAUGAGAUGGACAUCCUCUGACACAACCAUUUUGCUGAGAUGACAUCUUCUGACACAACCAUUUUAUAGAGAUUGGCAUCCUCUGUUGGUAACUUUAUGUGGGCUUUGCUAUCAGAAGGUUUGGGAACCCUUUGCCCCUGACCACCUUGAUAUAUUUUGCAAUUCAUUACUUAUCUGCACAAACAGUUUAACAGCCCAUAAUUCCAAUAUGAAAGAUCUUAUUUUUACAAACAAAUAUAUUUUUUCCCAAGUUACCUUCAGAUAAGCAAUGUUAUAUUCUGCCGUUACAUUCCAGCUGCAGACCUGACUGAUCGAAACACUGCCUGGAGAUGAUUAUUGCACCAUGAAGUCAUAUUCAGUUUUUCAGUUUCAGAUUAUUUUGCAUAGCCACAUCUAGGUCUGUAGAAUGUGUCUUGAAGUGAUUUAUGAUUAUGAAAUACUGUGAUGCAGGAUUUAGUGUUAGGUUUAAGUUCAGUCUACAGUACUGGUGAUGACCACAAGAAGGAGAUAAUGUUCCAACAAUACUUGUGUCUUUGACUAAGUAUGAGCUGAAUGAAUAUCUCACAGGAAACAGAAUGUGAUGCAGUAAUAACAUACCAACACAUUUAGUUCUACGAAAAUAAAUUUUUGAAACAGUAUAAGCAGUACUUGCAGACCUAUAUGUAAUGAUACAAAAGUAUUUUCUAUCUCUCUUGUGAAUAUAAAUAAGAAAUGUCAAUGGGUUCACUGAGAUGGAAUGGAGAAUAUUCCUACCAAUCCAAGUUCUUCAGUAAAUUAUCCAUAAUA